ACGCUCGACACCUACGGGAGACAGCAGUGGGGAAUAUUGCACAAUGGGGGAAACCCUGAUGCAGCGACGCCGCGUGAAGGAAGAAGUAUCUCGGUAUGUAAACUUCUAUCAGCAGGGAAGAAAGUGACGGUACCUGACUAAGAAGCCCCGGCUAACUACGUGCCAACAGCCGCGGUAAUCUGAGCGGGCUGGCAAGGC
rnacentral:rRNA from 1 species